GACGAACGCUGGCGGCGUGCCUAACACAUGCAAGUCGAGCGGGGUUGAGGCGAGAGGUAACUCGAACUUCUACCUAGCGGCGGACGGGUGAGUAACGCGUGGGCAACCUGCCUCAAGGUUUGGGAUAACAGCCCGAAAGGGCUGCUAAUACCGGAUAUGCCUAUGGCCUCGCAUGGGGCUAUGAGCAAAGGGGAAACCCGCCUUGAGAUGGGCCCGCGUCCCAUCAGCUAGUUGGUGAGGUAACAGCUCACCAAGGCGACGACGGGUAGCCGGCCUGAGAGGGUGACCGGCCACACGUGGGACUGAGACACGGCCCAGACUCCUACGGGGGGCAGCAGUGGGGGAUCUUGCACAAUGGGCGAAAGCCUGAUGCAGCGACGCCGCGUGAGCGAAGAAGGCCUUCGGGUUGUAAAGCUCUGUCUGGAGGGACGAACAAAAUGACGGUACCUCCGGAGGAAGCCACGGCUAACUACGUG
rnacentral:rRNA from 1 species